GUGCUCGCUUUGGCAGCACAGAUACUAAAAUUGCAACGAUACAGAGAAGAUUAGCAUGGUCCCUAUGCAAGGGCUGGUCAUUCGGCCGUUAAUAAAGAAUUGACUGAUU